rnacentral:rRNA from 1 species
CAAACGGGUGCGGAACACGUACAGAACCUUCCUUUAAGCGGGGGAUAGCCCGGAGAAAUCCGGAUUAAUACCCAUAGUAAUGUUGGGUGGCAUCACUUGAUAUUUAAAGAUUUAUCACUUAGAGAUGGCUGUGCGGCUGAUUAGGUAGUUGGCGGGGUAAAGGCCCACCAAGCCAUCGAUCAGUAACUGGUGUGAGAGCACGACCAGUCACACGGGCACUGAGACACGGGCCCG